ensembl:lincRNA
GGGCUUUUUGGACCCUUGAAACUGAGCUGUUUUCCUUCUGGCUGGUGGAGACUGGCUGGGAGAUCUGAGGAAGCCAGGAAUAUUACAAAGCAAGAAUAAAACAAGAAAAAACAGAAGUGGUGGAAUCCAUACCCUCAAGAGCUGGCAUUCAUAGAGAGGGAAUUCAACCACAUUGAGCCCAUUUUCCAGCAGCUGAAGCUCAGUUUUCUGUUGGAAGUACCAUCGCUCUUUUCCAAAGCUAGAUGAUUUUAGAACAAAGUCUGGAAUGUGCCCCAUCUGCUCAAGCUUUGAAGUCACUGGAACAUCAAUUACAACUGCAAAAGAUAUAAAAAGACACAAUGGAGAAGAACCUCCAACUUUACCUGAGGACAACACUAUGAUUUGUGUUCAACAGUGACAGCUUCCAGAUCAAGUCAACACUUCCUACCCACUCUCCUCUGAGGCAUCGCUAAGACCAGGAUUAGAUGACCUUCAAGAUCACAGCCAGGGGUUUCAUGUUCCUGGACCACAGGCCUGUGGUCUGCAACUGUCCUUCCUAAAAGAGUUUAGUCAGAAUGCGGCUAUAAAAAUACACAGCAGGGACUGUAGCCAGUGACUAUCAUGACAACUUGCGUGGCAUGAGUGCCCCAGCUUUCAGGGCAGUGGGGUGGAGAGUGGACACUGCAGGAAAACACCACUUUAAAUAUAAUAAUUUUGAUUAAUAAUUAAGUUGUUAUGGGAAAGGGAUUGUUUUGAUGGUUACAGACCUUCUCUAAAGGGGUUGGAUGUGAAGAGAGUACACAGCUGAAGCAUAACACUAAUAACAAGGGUAUGUCGGAUUGGUUGGUUAGAAGUGGAUUGUGCACAAUGGCCAGAAGAAUAAUUCUGUGAUCCACUUUUCUGUGAUGAUGAAGCUGAGACUCAAAGGUCUACCCAGCCCUUCUACAUUGUCUCACUGUUUGCCUGAGGCAGAAGACUACCUGGAGAAGAGAAGAUGCCUUUCCCUGGAAUCUGGAGAUUCCUCUCAUCCCCUCUGAUGUUCAGCAGAGAAAAUGACCUAGGGCACUCCCAGGGUUAAGCAGCCCCUCCUUCUACACACUCAUAACCCCCAACAGCAGGUCAGCAGUCUAACCAGAAAUUGUAGCGAUUUAAAGACAGCUGCAAAUCC